rnacentral:lncRNA from 1 species
GGAGACGCGGCCUCCACGCGGUGCACACCUCACCGAGGGCGGGCGGGCGGUCCCCCACGACCAGGACCCGAACCCAGCACCACACCGGAGAACGGGAGAAGUCGGAGCCAGGCAUCUCCUCUUCCCACUGGCCCGUCCGGCAAACCCAGGGGGCGGCCGUCCCAAGACCCCCCCACCCAGACCCGCCCUUCCCGUCUCGGGGGCACCAAACCCCCGACCUCUAGCCGCGAGACCCGCGGACGGGGCACGCGGCAAGAGGAGGGGCCCGAGACCGUCGGAAGAGGGCGGACGGGGAAGGGGGGAAAACAGAACCGACCCCGCUGGAGAGCGGAGGGCAACCCCCGAAUCUUUAAACCUCCGCGCCAGAACGCGCUAGGUACCCGGGACAGGAUGGGGGCGGAAAGGCCUCCCACGCCCCAACGGCGGGCUAGGACCGCACAGCGGAGAGGAGCGUGGGAGUUUUCGCCCCAGCCCCUCGGGGCGGUCGGGACGAGCGACCAAGGCACACCCGGCCGGUCACGCCAACCCCAAUUCCCCAUCUCGGAGGGAAGACGCUCACUCGAGCGAGCGGGACCGACCCCGGCGCCUGACCGCCGGGGCCCUCGCUGGCCCACACGUCGAGGGGACCCCUCUCGAGCCGCCGGGGCAGGGGCCUCGGCACCGCCGACCCCGCCCCACCGGUGGGGACGAGGCGGUUCGGCCGCGUCGGCGAGCACGGACCCGGAGAACCUAAAAGACACCCGACCGCGGGCUGAGGCGGAGCGGAGGAAGGGGGCAAAGGGGAGGAGAGGCACCGCCGCCUUAAGCUCCCGCCCCGCCGCUCCGGCCGAGGGAAUCACCGACCCUUUCCUCCCCAUGGGAGCCGGGACCCUGACGACCGAAGGCGGGGAACCGGGUACCCGGGGCCCCAACCGCCCACACGGAGAGGGUGGGGCCCGGCGACGACGCCGGGUCUCUUCCCCUUUUCGCCACCUCCCCCCGAAGCCCGCACAUGCAGCGGCGGGGGCACGACCGCGCCGGGGCGGCGGGAUCGUGGUCAAGCACUUCGAGCAGCAUUCCUCUCUCGCUCGAAAACCCCCCGCCGCGGGGGGACUCGGCAUGCGCACGGGCCGCCGACGGCGUCCGGGACGCCGCCGGGGUACCGGCGGGGCCGGGCAGCGCCGGAGGGAACCCACCGAACGCCGCCCGGUCGGCCGCAGCCGCCACGACGCCUCGAGCCCGGGACCGGGGAACGACACCGCCCUAAGGCUCCCGCCGUGGGACGGCCCCCUCCCGACACCCAGCCCCGCUCCCGUCGAGCCCGGGGAGGCCACCGCCGGCCACCCCUCACGGGAGGGAAACUCCACCGGACGCGGCCUGACGACGGGACGGGCCCCGCUGCGUCUGAGAGCACGGCGGGCUCUCUCUCGGUAA